UACGGAGGGUGCAAGCGUUAUCCGGAUUCACUGGGUUUAAAGGGUGCGUAGGUGGGGUGGUAAGUCAGUGGUGAAAUCUCCGAGCUUAACUUGGAACUGCCGUUGAUACUAUCUGCCUUGAAUAUUGUGGAGGUGAGCGGAAUAUGUCAUGUAGCGGUGAAAUGCUUAGAUAUGACAUAGAACACCAAUUGCGAAGGCAGCUCGCUACACAUAUAUUGACUCUGAGGCACGAAAGCGUGGGGAUCAAACAGG
rnacentral:rRNA from 1 species